rnacentral:rRNA from 1 species
UAAGGUGGGACAGAUGAUUGGGGUGAAGUCGUAACAAGGUAGCCGUAGGAGAACCUGCGGCUGGAUCACCUCCUUU